CGAGGGGCGGGGGAGCGCGCCCGCGGACCAAAGGGGGCGGUGCUCCCGCCGGCUCGCCGCCCGACCGCCCGGCGGAAAGGGCCGAGUGAUCCCGGAAGGAGCCGAAGCCACGAUGCGGGGGAAGAGAUAGAGUCUUCCUCUGUCGCCCAGGCUGGAGUGCAGUGGUGCGAUCUUGGCGCACUGCAACCUCCGCCUCCUGGGUUCAAGCAAUUCUCCUGCCUCAGCCUCUCGAGUAGCUGGGAUUACAGGUGUGCUCCACCAUGCCCGGCUAAUUUUUGUAUUUUUAGUAGAGAUGGGGGUUUCACCAUGUUGGCCAGGCUGGUCUCGAACUCCUGACCUUGUGAUCCACCAGCUUCGGCCUCUGGAAGUUCUGGGAUUACAGGCAUGAGCCACCACACCUGGCUGAAUGAUGCUUUUUUUUUUUUUUUUUGAGACAGAGUCUCUGUUGCCCAGGCUGGAGCGCAGUGGUGCAUCUUGGCUCACUGCAAGCUCCACCUCCCGGGUUCACGCCAUUCUCCUGCCUCAGCCUCCCGAGUAGCUGGGACUACAGGCGCCCUCCACCACGCCCGGCUAAUUGUUUUUAUUUUUAGUAGAGAUGGGGUUUCACCAUGUUAGCCAGGAUGGUCACGAUCUCCUGACCUUGUGAUCCACCUGCCUCGGCCUCCCAAAGUGCUGGGAUUACAGGCGUGAGCCACCUCGCCCGGCCUCGAAUGAUGCCAUUUUUAAGGCAAAGCAUAAUGGUGAUGGUGGAUGAUAGAGUGACAUCAGGAGCGCCAGAAGGAGGAAGUCAGAAAGCCCUUGGGGACAGGAAUGUCCUUGUGUUGCAAACAUUUCUGGUCAGGGAAAGAUGAAGAAAACAGAAUGAGUUUCUGAUAACAGUGUUCCCAACACUUAAUGGUUAAAAGAAGCUUUGAGGAACACCAUAUUUCAGCCCUAUGGAAGAGUGAACAAAAAGGAAAAAGCCAGUAAGACUGAUGGUUCUAUAUAAGAUGUCCACUUCUGCAUGAACUGCUGCAGACAACAAAUGAAAUGCUCUUAUUAUUCCUGUCC